rnacentral:rRNA from 1 species
GGACGAAUCAGGUCUCGUUGGUGACCAGCGGAGGGAUCAUUACCGAGUUUACAACUCCCAAACCCCUGUGAACAUACCUUAAUGUUGCCUCGGCGGAUCAGCCCGCGCCCCGUAAAACGGGACGGCCCGCCAGAGGACCCAAACUCUAAUGUUUCUUAUUGUAACUUCUGAGUAAAACAAACAAAUAAAUCAAAACUUUCAACAACGGAUCUCUUGGUUCUGGCAUCGAUGAAGAACGCAGCAAAAUGCGAUAAGUAAUGUGAAUUGCAGAAUUCAGUGAAUCAUCGAAUCUUUGAACGCACAUUGCGCCCGCUGGUAUUCCGGCGGGCAUGCCUGUUCGAGCGUCAUUUCAACCCUCAAGCCCCCGGGUUUGGUGUUGGGGAUCGGCUCUGCCUUACGGCGGUGCCGCCCCCGAAAUACAUUGGCGGUCUCGCUGCAGCCUCCAUUGCGUAGUAGCUAACACCUCGCAACUGGAACGCGGCGCGGCCAUGCCGUAAAACCCCAACUUCUGAAUGUUGACCUCGGAUCAGGUAGGAAUACCCGCUGAACUUAAGCAUAUCAAUAAGCGGAGGAA